rnacentral:rRNA from 1 species
UACGUAGGGUGCGAGCGUUGUCCGGAAUUAUUGGGCGUAAAGAGCUUGUAGGCGGUUUGUCGCGUCUGCUGUGAAAAUCCGGGGCUCAACCCCGGACUUGCAGUGGGUACGGGCAGACUAGGGUGUGGUAGGGGAGACUGGAAUUCCUGGUGUAGCGGUGAAAUGCGCAGAUAUCAGGAGGAACACCGAUGGCGAAGGCAGGUCUCUGGGCCACUACUGACGCUGAGAAGCGAAAGCAUGGGGAGCGAACAGG